GACGAACGCUGGCGGCGUGCUUAACACAUGCAAGUCGAACGAUGAACUUGGAGCUUGCUCUGGGGGAUUAGUGGCGAACGGGUGAGUAACACGUGAGUAACCUGCCCUGGACUCUGGGAUAACUUCGAGAAAUCGGAGCUAAUACCGGAUAGGACCUUGCACCGCAUGGUGUGGGGUGGAAAGUUUUUCGGUUUGGGAUGGACUCGCGGCCUAUCAGCUUGUUGGUGGGGUAAUGGCUCACCAAGGCGUCGACGGGUAGCCGGCCUGAGAGGGUGACCGGCCACACUGGGACUGGGACACGGCCCAGCCUCCUACGGGAGGCAGCAGUGGGGAAUAUUGCACAAUGGGCGCAAGCCUGAUGCAGCAACGCCGCGUGCGGGAUGACGGCCUUCGGGUUGUAAACCGCUUUUAGUAGGGAAGAAGCCUUCGGGUGACGGUACCUGCAGAAAAAGGACCGGCUAACUACGUGCCAGCAGCCGCCGUAAAAC
rnacentral:rRNA from 1 species